AUAAGUACAUUAAACCAGGGCUCGACAAAUCGGGAUUUGUGAGCAUUGACAAAUCCCGACUUGUUGAGCCCUGGUUUAAUGUACUUAUUGUAUGUUG